rnacentral:lncRNA from 1 species
GGGGUUGGGUGUGGAUGCAAUUAUUUAUAACCUUCCCCUUUUAAUCUGAGCCAUCCAUCAUGAUUUAAUCUAGGUCGUCCGAUCGCGAUUAAAUUAGAAAUAAAUCUUGGUCGUCCAUCUCGAUGCGAUCUGAGCCGUCCCUGCGUGAUCAAAUCUGGGCCGUCCGCACGCGUGAGAUCUGAGUCGUCCAUGCGCGCUUUUGAUCUGGCCGUCUGUGCGCGCGGGAACGGAUCUGGGCCGUCCAAUCGCGCACAAGUGGAUCGCCCACAUGUCUCCGU